UACAGAGGGGGCAAGCGUUGUUCGGAAUUACUGGGCGUAAAGGGCGCGUAGGCGGCCUUCUAAGUCGAACGUGAAAUCCCCGGGCUCAACCCGGGAACUGCGUCCGAUACUGGAAGGCUUGAAUCCGGGAGAGGGAUGCGGAAUUCCAGGUGUAGCGGUGAAAUGCGUAGAUAUCUGGAGGAACACCGGUGGCGGAGGCGGCGUCCUGGACCGCGCCUGACGCUGAGGCGCGAGAGCGCGGGGAGCGAACCGG
rnacentral:rRNA from 1 species